rnacentral:tRNA from 1 species
CUCGGUAUAGCUAAUUUAAAGUACAGGAUUCUUACUCCUGUGAUGUGUUUACACUGCCGGGU